CACUCCUACGGGAGGCAGCAGUGGGGAAUAUUGGACCAUGGGCGCAAGCCUGAUCCAGCCAUGCCGCGUGAGUGAUGAAGGCCCUAGGGUUGUAAAGCUCUUUCACCGGUGAAGAUAAUGACGGUAACCGGAGAAGAAGCCCCGGCUAACUUCGUGCCAGCAGCCGCGGUAAUACGAAGGGGGCUAGCGUUGUUCGGAUUUACUGGGCGUAAAGCGCACGUAGGCGGACUAUUAAGUCAGGGGUGAAAUCCCGGGGCUCAACCCCGGAACUGCCUUUGAUACUGGUAGUCUUGAGUUCGAGAGAGGUGAGUGGAAUUCCGAGUGUAGAGGUGAAAUUCGUAGAUAUUCGGAGGAACACCAGUGGCGAAGGCGGCUCACUGGCUCGAUACUGACGCUGAGGUGCGAAAGCGUGGGGAGCAAACAGGAUUAGAAACCCGGGUAGUCCC
rnacentral:rRNA from 1 species